GUCUUUAUGAACAGUUUAAUGUUUAUUAAUUUAGAAGGGUAAAAAAACACAUGCGUCAGAGGUGCCUGGUUAUACUGUCCAUUACAGACAUUAAUGGACACCUGCCAGCCAUCAGAACUGAGAAUUCUCUGUGUGUAUGGGAUAAACUCCACCGGUGUUCAGUCUUAACGCAAAAGUUAAAAGACAUGAAUAUAAGCGAUAUCACACUGGGCGGAUCGAGGUGAAAUUGUUUUUACGAGUGUUUCAAUUUGAGUGAAACGUGCGCAUAUCCUGAGGCUUUUCGACUCUGCUUAACAAGAAAAGAAGAGAAAUCGAGGAAAAACAGAAAAAAACUGGAGUUUCUGCAAUGUUGAUAGACCAAAAGACUUCCACCAAUGAAGAAAAGAUUGUAGCGCCAAAGUUGUAUCCAGACUCCUUCCUGUUUGCCAUGUGGGGUGAUGACUUGUCAGAAGAGGAGCAGAAGGAGGCUGAAGCUUCAAACUGAAUUUCAUAUACUUUUUUACUAAUUGAUACAAACUUGAAAUAAAAUUAAAAAAAGCCA